rnacentral:lncRNA from 1 species
AUGACUCUUUCUAUCCACCUGUCCCCUAGAGCUGCGAUAGCAGCUCAGAGGCUGUGCCUCAUGACUUCAUCCCUCCCUGCUGAGGGGAGACGGGAACAUCAUUAUCAGCUACCGAUGAGUCCUGAUUUGGAGCCAGCAGUGAAAAUGUCCUCGGAUGUAGGGCUCCUCCUCCGCCCCAAGGGUGACUCGAACCUGCUGGGAAGAUGGAGGAAGAGCUGGAGGGGAGAGAUGAGAAGAAAGAGGUGCAAAUUCAACCACGUCUCUAUGAUGAUGUCAUGGCAACAAGCUCCAGCCCCUCCUAGGGGCCUUCUGCCUGAACCAUGUGUCCGGACUGAAUUCAGCAAACUUCCCGGAGCAAGACGCUGUGUUCCCCCGCCCAGGGAAGCCAUCUGCUGCCCUCCAGCAGCUCCUUCUGCGGGGCUUCGAGCUCGCCAGCCGGGCUGGAAAGCUCUCCUCCUCCUCCUCCUCGCUUGCCCCGGCUCUCCUCGGCCAUCUUGCUAGCAGAAGGCUGGGGAACGCGGGGCUGGCUGAAUCUGGGGCGGUGAUGGUGUCAGCCGGAGGCGGUUUCCAGGCAACUGUCGCGCCGUGGGACACGCGAGCCAAGAACACCGGGGACACGGCGUUCCCAGCGCGCCGCCUGCCAGGGGACCGAGACACACACCCGGGGACACGGCACAGGACCGUGCGGAGAGGGCAGCGCAGGCAUGGCUGCAGAGGAGGGGGGCUCCAGAAUAUCCCCUCCUGCCCACUGCCCAUCACACCUUCCCUGGAUGGGAGCAUUUCCAAGCUGGCUGCUGGUGCAUCACGCGACAAGGAAGGACUACAUGAUGUAUGGGAUUUCACAUGCCUUCUGCAUCAUUUGGAUGAUCAAAAAGAAAAGGAACGUUGUGCCAGACUGUAUCCCAGCCCACAGAACUACUGCAGGUGGUCCCGUGCUUCUCUGUCCCUUAUCAAAUACAAAGCUUCACCCCUACAAGUCAUGAACCGUUUUUGUGCACACAUCCCAGCUCUGUGUCUCUGGGUGUCACUGAAAAAGUGAAUUUCUUGUAAGAAAAAAAAAGAUCUUCCACAAGCUGACAAUCUUCCCCAGUACUUGGUGGGUCCCACUGCCCCUCUGUGCUGAUGCCCAAGGCAGUAUCCCCACUCCUGCCUGGCUCCCCUACCUGAUUUAGAGGUCCUGGGAACAUCCCUGACCCUGAAACUCACCUGUCUGGUAGCCCUUCUUUACACUGCACACCCAGCAUUUCUCCUCACAGCAAUGUCAAUACUCACAUUCCCUUUGUUUUAUCCAGUUUGAGUGGUUUUUGAGACGGGGUUUGAGUACAACUGAUUUUCAAUAGAUGAGGGUGAUAAAAUUGAUAUAGCUGAACAAUGGGAAAAAAAUUCUUGUGGAUUCUGAGAGAGCAGCUAUGAUGAACAUGGGGAAUGGGGCUACAUCAUGCUUGGUAGGGUGUGUGCUGCAGAGGGGCAGAACUGUUUGACUGUAUUCAGCCCUGUAUUC